rnacentral:rRNA from 1 species
UAAAUAGCCAGGCCAUCUUUGGAUGGUCGCCAGCUUCUUAGAGGGACUGUCAGCGUCUAGCUGAUGGAAGUUUGAGGCAAUAACAGGUCUGUGAUGCCCUUAGAUGUUCUGGGCUGCACGUGCACUACACUGACAGAGCCAGCGAGUUUUUUUCCUUGGCCAGAAGGUCUG